AUGCUGGCAGCCGCAGGCCUGCAAUUAACAAACGAGGUGCAUAGAUCGGUGCCUGCAAUUAACAAGGAGUGGAGUAGAGAUCGGUGCCUGCAAUUAAAAACAGAGGUAGAGGAGCGAUCGGUGCCUGCAAUUAACAAGGGGUGCAGCGAUCUGUGUCUGCAAUUAACAAACAGGGGUGGAGAGAUCGGCGCGCUGCUAAGCGCAGGCACCGGGGCCCGCCGGCGAGCGGGGGCUGGACCCCGGUGGGCCGGCUCCGGGCUCACCCGGUGCGGAGGGGCGGGCCGCCUUCCCACUGGUCCGCUCCAGCCGCGCGGCCUGCUGGCCACAGUUCCCAGCGGGCACCACCCGCUCGCGAGCCAGGCAGCCCCGGGCGGCGCGCGCCGGUCCGAGGGCGGGGACGUGCUCCGAGGACGCGCGCGGGGCUGGGCCUCCAACCGCCGCUCGCGGGGAAGAGGGCGGCUUCCCGCAAAGCCCGCCGCCGCCGCCGCCGCCGCCGCCGACUCGGAGGUGCCGAGGGUUGUGGGGGAGCUCGGGGCGCGCGGGAACAUCGCCGUCGCCCGGCGCGGCCCGGAGAAACUCUCGGCGUGGGCCACAGAACCCUUUGUCACAGGAGCAAUGCUGCCCUGGUGGGAACUGUCCUUUUACCUGUUAGCUUCCAUAGGCUUCCACUUCUAUUCCUUCUAUGAAGUCUACAAAGUCUCCAGAGAACAUGAAGAGGAGCUGGACCGAGAAUUUGACCUGGAGACUGACACUUUAUUCGGAGGAUUAAAGAAGGACCCGACUGACUUUGAGUGGAGCUUCUGGAUGGAGUGGGGGAAGGAGCGGCUGGUGUGGUUAUUCCUUGGCCACAUGAGCGUGUCUCAAGUCGCCAACCUGCUUUCGAGGAAGCACAAACCCUGGAUCCUCGCAGCCUAUGGGAUGUGGGCCUGCCGCUGCGUGCUGGGGACCCGAGGCACCGCCAUGGUUCUUAUUCACACCACCGUCUCCUUCUGUGUUGCUCAGUUCCGGUCUCAGUUCCUAUCAUGGCUGUGUUCUCUCUCUCUGCUGUCUACACUGAGACUGCAAGAUGUGGAGGAAGUUAAGAGAGGGUGGUGCACGACCGAGAACGAGUGCUACCUGCUGCAGUUCACGCUGGCCGUGCGCUGUCUGUGCUACACCAGCUUCAGCCUGGAGCUGUGCUGGCGGCCCCCGCCGGCCGAGCGGCCCUCCUACUCCCUCCCCUGGAUGCUCGCCUACGUCUUCUACUACCCAGUCUUCCACAACGGGCCCUGUCCUCAGCUUCCCGGAGUUCAUCGCACAGAUGCAGCAGCAGGAGCAGAGCUCGCCGAAGACCAGCCUUUCCAUCCUUGCCUUGGGGCUGGGCCGUCUCCUCUUCUACUGGUGGCUGGCAGAGCUGAUGGUUCAUCUCAUGUACAUGCACGCCAUCUACAGCAGUGCCUCCCUCCUGAGGGCCGUCUCGAGCUGGACCUUAGGAGGUCUGGCGCUGGCCCAGGUGCUCUUCUUCUACGUGAAGUACUUGGUGCUCUUCGGUGUCCCGGCUCUGCUCAUGCGCCUGGAUGGACUCAGGCCGCCGCCGCUCCCUCGCUGUGUGAGCACCAUGUUCAGCUUCACGGGGAUGUGGAGGCAUUUUGACGUUGGACUACAUGAUUUCUUGGUUAGGUGUUUGAAAUUGGAAGGAAAAACUGAUGGGCAAUGGUUUCAAAUAGGAAAAGGAGUACGUCAAGGCUGUAUAUUGUCACCCUGCUUAUUUAACCUCUAUGCAGAGUACAUCAUGAGAAACGCUGGGCUGGAAGAAGCACAAGCUGGAAUCAAGAUUGCCGGGAGAAAUAUCAAUCACCUCAGAUAUGCAGAUGACACCACCCUUAUGGCAGAAAGUGAAGAGGAACUAAAAAGCCUCUUGAUGAAAGUGAAAGUGGAGAGUGAAAAAGUUGGCUUAAAGCUCAACAUUGAGAAAACGAAGAUCAUGGCAUCCGGUCCCAUCACUUCAUGGGAAAUAGAUGGGGAAACAGUAGAAACAGUGUCAGACUUUAUUUUCUUGGGCUCCAAAAUCACUGCAGAUGGUGACUGCAGCCGUGAAAUUAAAAGACGCUUACUCCUUGGAAGAAAAGUUAUGACCAACCUAGAUAGCAUAUUCAAAAGCAGAGACAUUACUUUGCCUACUAAGGUCCAUCUAGUCAAGGCUAUGGUUUUUCCAGUGGUCAUGUAUGGAUGUGAGAGUUGGACUGUGAAGAAGGCUGAGCACCAAAGAAUUGAUGCUUUUGAAGUGUGGUGUUGGAGAAGACUCUUGAGAGUUCCUUGGACUGCAAGGAGAUCCAACCAGUCCAUUCUGAAGGAGAUCAGCCCUGGGAUUUCUUUGGAAGGAAUGAUGCUAAAGCUGAAACUCCAGUACUUUGGCCACCUCAUGCAAAGAGUUGACUCACUGGAAAAGACUCUGAUGCUCGGAGGGAUUGGGGGCAGGAGGAGAAGGGAACGACAGGAUGGGAUGGCUGGAUGGCAUCACUGA
rnacentral:lncRNA from 1 species